rnacentral:tRNA from 1 species
GAGUAUUAGGUUUUGUUGGACAAAAAAAGUCUUGAAAACUUCUUUAAAGUGUUCGAUUCACUUAUGACUUU